rnacentral:rRNA from 1 species
GAACUAUAGAGUUUGAUCCUGGCUCAGAUUGAACGCUGGCGGCAUGCCUUACACAUGCAAGUCGAACGGUAACGCGGGGCAACCUGGCGACGAGUGGCGAACGGGUGAGUAAUGCAUCGGAA